rnacentral:miRNA from 1 species
AAGUGAGAUCAUGUGAAAUCCUCGG